rnacentral:rRNA from 1 species
UGAAUACGAGACGCUAAGGCGUCGAAGUAGUGUAUGUCAUACUUCCAAGAAAAGCUUGCACUGUCAUAGAUAAAAAACGCCUGUACCAUAACCGACACAGGUGGGUAGGUAGAGUAUACUAAGGGGCGCGAGAUAACUCUCUCUAAGGAACUCGGCAAAAUAACUCCGUAACUUCGGGAGAAGGAGUGCCUUAUUCUUAAGGUUGCAAUAACAAGAUCCAAGCAACUGUUUAUCAAAAACACAGGUCUCCGCUAAGUCGUAAGACGGUGUAUGGGGGCUGACGCCUGCCCAGUGCCAGAAGGUUAAAGAAGCUGGUUAGCAUUUGCGAAGCUAGUAACUGAAGCCCGGGUGAACGGCGGCCGUAACAAUAACGGUCCUAAGGUAGCGAAAUUCCUUGUCGGGUAAGUUCCGACCCGCACGAAAGGCGUAAUGAUUUGGAUACUGUCUCGGAGAGGGGCUCGGUGAAAUAGACUUGUCUGUGAAGAUGCGGACUACCUGCACCAGGACAGAAAGACCCUAUGAAGCUUUAUUGUAACUUGAAAUUGAAAUUGGACUUUAUUCGCGCAGUAUAGGUGGGAGGCGUUGAUUAUAAUCUUGCGGGAUUACUGGAGCCAUUAGUGAGAUACCACUCUUGUAAUGUUAGAUUUCUAACUUUGAAUCAUUAUCUGGUCAAAGAACAGUUUCAGGCGGGCAGUUUGACUGGGGCGGUCGCCUCCUAAACGGUAACGGAGGCGUACAAAGGUUUCCUCUGAACGGUUAGAAAUCGUAUCUAGAGUGUAAAGGCAUAAGGAAGCUUGACUGUGAGACCUACAAGUCGAGCAGGGACGAAAGUCGGUCUUAGUGAUCUGACGGUACUGAGUGGAAAGGCCGUCACUCAACGGAUAAAAGUUACUCUAAGGAUAACAGGCUGAUCUCCCCCAAGAGUUCACAUCGACGGGGAGGUUUGGCACCUCGAUGUCGGCUCAUCGCAUCCUGGGGCGGUAGUACGUCCCAAGGGUUGGGCUGUUCGCCCAUGAAAGCGGUACGCGAGCUGGGUUCAGAACGUCGUGAGACAGUUCGGUCCAUAUCCGGUGUAGGCGUUAGAAUAUUGAGAGGAGCCUUCUUUAGUACGAGAGGACCGAGAAGGACAUACCUCUGGUGUACCAGUUAUCGUGCCAACGGUAAACGCUGGGUAGCUAUGUAUGGAGUGGAUAACCGCUGAAAGCAUCUAAGUGGGAAGCCCACCUCAAGAUAAGUAUUCUCGU